GCCCUCGGUGGCUCAGAUGGAACAGAGCGUCUGCCUCGUAAGCAGGAGACCCCAGGUUCGAGUCCCGGUCGGGGCA